GACGAACGCUAGCGGCAGGCUUAAUACAUGCAAGUCGAGGGGCAGCAUGAUUGUAGCAAUACAAUUGAUGGCGACCGGCAAACGGGUGCGGAACACGUACACAACCUCCCAAUGAGUGGGGAAUAGCCCAGAGAAAUUUGGAUUAAUACCCCGUAACAUAACGAUGUGGCAUCACAUUGUUAUUAUAGAUUUUUCGCUUAUUGAUGGGUGUGCGGCUGAUUAGAUAGUUGGCGGGGUAACGGCCCACCAAGUCUACGAUCAGUAGCUGAUGUGAGAGCAUGAUCAGCCACACGGGCACUGAGACACGGGCCCGACUCCUACGGGAGGCAGCAGUAAGGAAUAUUGGACAAUGGACGCAAGUCUGAUCCAGCCAUGCCGCGUGAAGGAUUAAGGUCCUCUGGAUUGUAAACUUCUAUUAUAAGGGACGAAAAAAGGCUUUUCUAAGUCGUCUACGGUACCUUAUGAAUAAGCACCGGCUAACUCCGUGCCAGCCGCCGCAGUAAAAC
rnacentral:rRNA from 1 species